GACGAAGGAUGCAAGCGUUAUCCGGAUUCAUUGGGUUUAAAGGGCGCGUAGGUGGUCUUAUAAGUCAGUGGUGAAAUCUCGCAGCUUAACUGCGAAACUGCCAUUGAUACUGUAGGACUUGAGUAUAGUUGCUGUGGGCGGAAUAUGACAUGUAGUGGUGAAAUACUUAGAGAUGUCAUAGAACACCGAUUGCGAAGGCAGCUCACAAAACUAUAACUGACACUGAGGCUCGAAAGUGCGGGGAUCAAACAGG
rnacentral:rRNA from 1 species